CCCAUUGAGUAGCAGCAACACCCCUAAUUUCUCAUGGCAGUCAGGGUAAUCAAUCCUGCCAACAUAGUAACUAUUUUCUUUACUUGAUGGUCGACCAGCAUGAGGAACCCAGAGUAUCUAGGUACGAUUUGCUUGAUGUCAUCAAUACAGUGAGCCAGUGUGAUAUUCUGCGGAAUUGAAGAUGACUACAGUCCCUUUGGACUACACUAUGACAAAGAACAAGAGUGUUAGCACAGCCCUGGGUGGGUCACUGACAAGAAAAUUCACCUGGAGGCCAAAUUGUCUCUAAUAACAAGUCCAAGACAUGCAUUCCAGCUGGAAUCCUCUUCCCGGAUGGUUGUGUGUUUUUAAUUGCAGUAGCCAUCUCCAAAAAUGCCAUCCAGUAACCAUGCCCUUGUGUGCUGCCCUUUCCAUGAAUCUGAGCUAGCCCCAUAAUUUGCUUUUGGCCAUUGGAUGGUGGUGGAAGUGAUGCUGUGUGACUUUUGAAGCUGAGUUACAAGCAGCCUUGGAGAGUCUUUCUAGACCUCGUGGAGGGCUCACUCUGGGGGAAGCCAACCAGCAUGUAAGAAGCAUAACUGCCCUGAGACCGCCGUGUUGUUAGGAUGCCCAGCUAGCUAUGUGGAGAAGCUGCAUAGACUGAGGGAGAAGCCCAGCUAGUCCCCAGUUAUUCCUGCCACCCUAACUGAGGCACCAGACCCAUGAGCAAAGAAACCAUCAUGGAUGUCCUGUCCCAUCCAGCUUCUGUGACUGUAACUGUAUGAGGACCCCAAUGAAAACCACGCAGCUGAGCCUAGUCAACACACAGA